rnacentral:rRNA from 1 species
CCUACGGGAGGCAGCAGUGGGGAAUAUUGCACAAUGGGGGAAACCCUGAUGCAGCGACGCCGCGUGAGUGAAGAAGUAUUUCGGUAUGUAAAGCUCUAUCAGCAGGGAAGAAGAAAGACGGUACCUGACUAAGAAGCCCCGGCUAACUACGUGCCAGCAGCCGCGGUAAUACGUAGGGGGCAAGCGUUAUCCGGAUUUACUGGGUGUAAAGGGAGCGUAGACGGCUGUGCAAGUCUGAAGUGAAAGCCCAGGGCUCAACCCUGGGACUGCUUUGGAAACUGUGGAGCUAGAGUGCUGGAGAGGUAAGUGGAAUUCCUAGUGUAGCGGUGAAAUGCGUAGAUAUUAGGAGGAACACCAGUGGCGAAGGCGGCUUACUGGACUGAAACUGACGCUGAGGCGCGAAAGCGUGGGGAGCGAACAGGAUUAGAUACCCGAGUAGUC